rnacentral:rRNA from 1 species
GUACUGGAAGGUCCUCAGGCCGAAAGGGGCUCUGCCCGCCCGAGGAUGGGCCGGCGGCCGAUUAGGUAGUUGGUGGGGUAACGGCCCACCAAGCCGAAGAUCGGUACGGGCCAUGAGAGUGGGAGCCCGGAGAUGGACACUGAGACACGGGUCCAGGCCCUACGGGGCGCAGCAGGCGCGAAACCUCCGCAAUGCGGGCAACCGCGACGGGGGGACCCCCAGUGCCGUGGCAACGCCACGGCUUUUCCGGAGUGUAAAAAGCUCCGGGAAUAAGGGCUGGGCAAGGCCGGUGGCAGCCGCCGCGGUAAUACCGGCGGCCCGAGUGGUGGCCGCUAUUAUUGGGCCUAAAGCGUCCGUAGCCGGGCCCGUAAGUCCCUGGCGAAAUCCCACGGCUCAACCGUGGGGCUUGCUGGGGAUACUGCGGGCCUUGGGACCGGGAGAGGCCGGGGGUACCCCUGGGGUAGGGGUGAAAUCCUAUAAUCCCAGGGGGACCGCCAGUGGCGAAGGCGCCCGGCUGGAACGGGUCCGACGGUGAGGGACGAAGGCCAGGGGAGCGAACCGGAUUAGAUACCCGGGUAGUCCUGGCUGUAAAGGAUGCGGGCUAGGUGUCGGGCGAGCUUCGAGCUCGCCCGGUGCCGAAGGGAAGCCG